CAGAGUCACGCAGUCUGCCAGCCAAAGGCUGCCUUCUGUGAAGCGAUGGUGUUAGCAUGACGCUACGGCUAAUGCCAGCUUCCGCCGCUGCCUGCCUGACUGCGGACCGAACGCGGCUUAAGCUCGCAGCGUCGCAGGCCAGAGAAACAAGGGAGGGGGGUAAAGAAAGCUUCAUUAAUCUCCCGCUUGCGCCGCAGCCGCCUGACGCCGCUUUGAAUCCGGCGUCUGAUGGCGCAUCUGUGUGGCAUCUGAAACGCUACCAUUAGUCUCCGGUGAACUCCUGCUGUACGUCACGCGUCUCCUGGAAAGAACAGAGACGCCACGGCUACCCGGCCAGCUACACGAGAUGAAACACUCCUCCACAGAAAAAGCAAUCCUGCCACUGGAAACCAGCUCCAGCAGAAAACAAACUAAAGUGGUCACCCUUAUCUGGGACAGGUGUUCUUUGCACACAAACGACUGUGGGAGAUGAAGAUGGAGAUGGUGGCCUUGUGGUUCAUCUCAGGAAGCAUGGCGGAGUGGAUGAGGCAGUAGUGCCCCCAAAGGUGGCAGAGGGAGGGGGGUUUCCCAUAUCAUACACUGAGGGAGAACAUGGAGACGGAGACCAGCAGUUUUUCAGAGACGCCCAACGAGAGCUGCCGAAAGAUUUAGGGUUCAAGUAGUGACUUGUUUGUGAUGCACGUAUGAACUGAAGAGAAAACGAUGGGAAAGGAAUCAGGAACAUUAAAAACCAUUAGGGAGAUAUUAAAAAAACAAGAAAAACUUCUAAAAUGGAUAAUCUCUAAGCACCCAGUCAUAGAGACCAAAGAGACACUGAAACAAACACAGAUGGGAAAUAAACGCUGAAAUGAAAGCAGAACCAAACAAACAUGACAUCUGCCUCAGGUCAGUGAUGAUGUUACUGUAGGUGUAGUUUCAAAUAUGUUGCCGGUCCGCGACAGAAAUUGUGAAAGUAGCCAUAUUGAGGAUUACUGCCAUGUUCUUCAAAGGUUCUGUAUAGGAGGAACAAAGGAUUAAUUCAUUAAAGUUAACUAAACUGACUUCUGCUGUUGUAAGCUUUAGCGUGGACCCCCCACUAACAGCAAGCACAGGCUUGGCUGACCUUUCGACUGAGAUCGAGCACAGCAGAGGCUACGGUUCCCCGGGAAUCCUGCUGCGGGGAGGAAGGUGAUGCAGUCACCGAAGCCACAAGUGGCCACCGCAGCCAGGGAGCAGCGAUUAAAGAAGCCAACGUGUCAAAAUUAGUAACGGCGUCCCCACAACAACAACAACAACAUAAUAAUAAAACUAUUUCACAGAGAUGGGCGAGACAGAAAUGUUCUGAGUGUUGAGAAAUGCAAAGAAGAUGAGAAUCACAGAG